CUGUUCAUUUUUAUUACACAUAGAAAAGAGAGGAAACUUAAUCUUCCAUAGAAUAGCAACCAAUUUCCAUGGAGCAUACGGCCAUGGCUGCUUUUGGCCCUGGCAGUCCGUUAUAAAAAAAAAAUUCUAUUAAAAUUUCAAAGAUGUUCUACACGUUCAAGAAGGCACGACAUAAAGUAUUGAAUUGAGGAAGAAGAAAUAGUGAAAUUGGAGCAAAUAAGUGUAGAAAUUCCUCCGAGUAAAUUAAGGCUAAAAGAGCGACAAAGCGAACGUGUUUGCGAAUGGUCGCUAACAGCCCCAGAUUGUUUGGCAGGUUAAGUAUGUAGCUAGGAUGCUCUGACGUCAGCUGGGAUUGGCAAGUUCCACCUCAUUCUGGAGCUGUGCUAAGUCAUGUAUAGAUAUGCAUGAUUACGGGUAUGUCAGGGCCCUAUCCUGACUCACAAUGUUCAGUUUACUUCUUAGAGACUUCUGCAGACAAUGUCUUGUGGUAUGUUUGUCGAGGUGUCGAAAAAGUGAUGUCAGUUGAGUCCUUUGUGGAUUUUAAAAGAGUAUGUAUUUUAGAUGAUUUAGAUUGGUCUAAAGUACUUAUCGAUUGAAAGUUUUCAUAAUCGUUAUGGAGAUAAUGAUUUCUAUUUGGAAAAAAUUUAUGUUCUUAAAGGUUUUUGAAAUAACAGGUUUUAAUAGAGCGAAUGUCUAAGGGUUCGCUCGACUCUGAUGAGAGUCGGGUGCCCGUCAUACCCUACCAUUGCUAGGGUGUGACAGAUGGCCUGAGUACCCAGCCUCUCGCUUAAAAAAAAAAAGGUAUGUAACUUAAAUCUUUUUAUUUUUUGGCACAAAAGGACAAGUUUUG